GACGAACGCUGGCGGCGUGCUUAACACAUGCAAGUCGAACGGAAAGGCCCUGCUUUUGUGGGGUGCUCGAGUGGCGAACGGGUGAGUAACACGUGAGUAGCCUGACCUUGACUUUGGGAUAACUUCAGGAAACUGGAGCUAAUACCGGAUAGGAGCUCCUGCUGCAUGGUGGGGGUUGGAAAGUUUCGGCGGUUGGGGAUGGACUCGCGGCUUAUCAGCUUGUUGGUGGGGUAGUGGCUUACCAAGGCUUUGACGGGUAGCCGGCCUGAGAGGGUGACCGGCCACAUUGGGACUGAGAUACGGCCCAGACUCCUACGGGAGGCAGCAGUGGGGAAUAUUGCACAAUGGGCGGAAGCCUGAUGCAGCAACGCCGCGUGCGGGAUGACGGCCUUCGGGUUGUAAACCGCUUUCGCCUGUGACGAAGCGUGAGUGACGGUAAUGGGUAAAGAAGCACCGGCUAACUACGUG
rnacentral:rRNA from 1 species